AAGGAAUCGAAGAAUUCAUAAAGGAAAUUUGAAUUUGAAGAAGGAUUUUUUGAAAUUUCGCAAUUGCUUUCGCGGGACAAAAAAAGGAAUCAACUUUAGAACGCCGCUUUUC